GUGAAAAGCCUCUUGAAACGAGCGGUGAGGGCGUUUGCAUAACAAAAUAUCAACUAUUUGAGAGCUGUGAAUUUCAGUACAGAAAUGAAUGAAUCCCAGUGGAUGAAUCAUAAAGAUUGUUCAUCAAUAAUAUGACAUAAAUUAGACUGAUGUGAAAUUUUACAUACGUUGUUCCCUGGUGAUGGAUUGUAAAGACGUCAUCCAUUUUAAAAAGAACCAUCAAGUCUGAAUUUCUUCUUGUGCCGUUAUAUUUCCAUCAGUCUUAACAUUUUGUCAACAUCACUCCAUACAAAGCAAGAUUAUUGCAAUUAAAAUUAUAAAGUAAACAACAAACUUCAACAUUUGAUGAGGACUGUCAUUAAGACAUUAUAGAACCGCCAUCGCUGCACAAGCUGAGUCAAAUGCAAGACUUGAUAUCUUUUAGUGUGCAAUCAAAACUAAAAUGAACCCAUUGGAUCUUCAUUUUCUGAGAUGCUGGCAAUGCAUAAAGACUCUUGUGUUUGCUCUUGCAGCUGUGUCAAGGAUCGGGACAGAGACUCUAGCGCAGGAAGACAAAGAUACAGACAGAUUGUAACAGAUUUAUUGAAAAUAACGAUAUUUACAACAGAUUCUACGAAGGGAAACGGGGAACUGACGUAACAGGAAGUACACAAGCUAACUGUUCCCAAGGGAUACAACUACAGGAUGGAGGGCACCCUGCACCAACCAGAAGUAUUACGGAAACCGUGGCAGGACAAAAAAAAAAGCUGAUAAUAUUUUUAUGAUGGAGACUAACCAGGACAUGGUUGGAGCGUCUGGCUGCUGCAGCAUGUGACUGCUGAAUGUGGAGACAGAAGGAGAGGGAGUUCCUGGUGGUGUCUCUGCCCUGCCUGCUGCCCCGUCGGGCCCUAAAGGAAUCACCCGGCCCUCAUCAAUCUGCUUCCACAUUCCACAAUAGCUGACAAAGAGACUCCACUCUCUCCAUGGCAGAUGGCUUCGCCUCGGGCUGUCCACGCCAAGCUCCCAUUGUUUGGGCUCUGGGGUUUGAUGCCGGGACCUUUGCUCCUCCUCCUCCUCCUUCAGUGUGACAAAAGGAUACUGGGGUGCAGAGGUUGAGUUUAACCCCUCUGAACAUAGCAGAAAGUGGCUGAUAUUUCAUGUAUUUUCUGAUAUAAGCUGCACUGCUUGUUGCUACGUCUGUAAGGACGUUUAAAUAAAUUUAAAGUACAGUUAAUAAAUACAAUAAAUCAGUGAUGCUGCGACACGAUGUGAUCUCUCGGCAUUAUCUUGAUUCCCACAGGAAUACAGGAGGCGAGCGUGGCCCCAGCAGGGAAACAGCAGCUACUAGAAGCCAUGUUUUCUAUUGUUAUCUCCAACUAAGAAGCUCAAAGUCAAAAUAAAGUAAUUUCAGAAAACACAAAAUUUGAUAUCUAAUACCUAAUAUCAGGGGUAGAAUCACAGAUAUUAAGAGUUUUAUUCUUAUAUACAGUUAAUGAGUUAUAAUUUACUAUACUUUCUAUUUGUAUUUCACAACAUUCCAGGGUGAAAUAUUACACUUUUUACUCCACUUAUUUACAGUAAUUUCUUGAACUACUAUGUACCUUGGUCUGAUGCAAAUGCUUCAAAUCUCAUCAUCUCACUGAGAAAUGAGAGUCCUAAAAGUCUUAUUCUCCUCUAACAAAUGGAAAAAAUCUGUCCUUGAAGUGUAAUAACUUCAAUGUUUUAUUAGAUAUCAGUGGGUUAAGUGAAUUUUUUGGGGCUAAAAUGAUAAUUUAAUGACUACAAAGCAGUAACGGUUCACGCUUGUUUCUGUAUAGUUUUUGAAACAAGAUGAUUUCUUCAGGGAAACGGUAAAUAAUCUAACUAAACGAAACUAAAACAGUUAAAUUCAGCUCCACUUUUCUCAUCUUAGAUUAAAAUUCUACUUUUUUCUUUGCCUCUGCGCUAAAAAUCAAUAACAUGUACAUUCGAAUGGGCCAUUGUGCAUUAUAAAUUCAAUUUGAAUACUGAAAUUACAAUUUGCUGACAAGAAUUUCAGGACUUUCACUUAUAAUAUACAGAAUUUAUAAUAUUGUCACAUUGAAGAAUGAUACUUAAAUUUAAAUGAGCUAAAUAUUUCUCGCACCACAAAUUUUUAAUAUAGAAUAAUUUGAAAAGCAUUUAGCGCAUUUUAUUUCUUACUGUUUUAUGUGUAAUUGAUGACAUUCAUGUGAAAACACAAGGCAGCAUAUUAGUCUAGUGAGUCAAACUUCACAAAUGUGCAUCAGUUUGGGAGGUAUUGAUUUUAUUUCUAAUAUAGCAUCAGUACAAAAGAAGGAUUUAGUUAUCAGGAGUAUCAAUUCUUUGGGGAUCAAUUUGCCAGCUUCUGAUUUGAAGCUAUAUUGAUCCAAAUCCUUGUGAAACAAAAGUCUCAUUGUAGCUUUACAUCCGGGUAAAGUUACAGGGCGGAUUUUUGAGGGAUCCAAUGGUGCACUUUGGUUAUAGACCCUUUAACAAUUUUAUGGCCUUUUCUUUGUGGCUCCUUCCUCCUGAGAGUGGAGGGAAGUGAGGACUUCUUUAUGAUGUGGGAUUCCUUGAACGUACUCGGCGAAGGCUCGCAGCAGCUUUGACUGACUCCAUUCAGCAAUUAACAUAAAGCUGCCUCUCCAUUAGCCAGCACGCAGCCCCGACUCGCUGGGCUUUUUGUGAGGGAGCUGCCUAUGUUUAACACAUCUGUUGUCUUCCAUGUCUGAGCAACCCACAGACAGGUCCGUCCACAGUGAUCCUUUUAUUCGGCUCUGAAAGGGCCUAUAGGGGCUCCUGAUAGAUGGCCUUCAUUCCAAUGAAAAUGGAAAGCUGGAUAAUGGGAAGAAUGGGGAGCCACCACUCCAGCACACCCCCAGCUCCAAGCCCCUACACAUCCUUGUAAAAGACUCCUCUUAAACAGUCUGAUGCUGAGCCUAAUCAUGUUAAAAAAGAGAGACCAUGUCUAGGCAAGUUUUAUUUACUGCCCUACAGCAGGUGCUUUUUCCUUCAACAUUUAGGCAAUUUUAAAGCAAGACAAAAGGACUGUGAUAAUGUAGUUGAACUUUAUGUGCAAAAGUAAAGUUUACGUCCACAUUUAAUGCAAAUUUUAAUCUAAUUCCAGCUAAUCUGAAUAAGCUGAAAGAACAUCUGCAUCUUUUUAUGUAUACGUACUCCUAUAUGAAUAUCAGGAGUUUUGUUUUCAGUUAAAUUGUCAGUGGCACCAAUUCUCCAUUGGAGCAUUUAAAAGUAGAAAAUAUAACAUCUCAGUUUUGUUUUUAUCAUUUGCCAUCUUCCAUCUCCUUACAGUAGCAUCACUGCUGUUUAAGUCACAAUGCUCAUGUCAAGACUUAUUUGUUAAGUUUGAGUCAACUGAAUUUUAUUAUUAAGAAAAAUUAAAGACAACAAUUUUCUUUUUUUUAACAUUUUCAUAGAGAGUAUUGGUUUAACUCACAAUAUUUUUUCUGAUCCAUGGAAACAGUUGUUGUUGGUCCAGCUUUAAUACACGGCCAGUUUAAAAUGCUCUGAAAGGAGAGAUGAUAUGACACUUUGUGGGCUUUAAUACAUAUUAUUAUAUCAUUAAAAAGCUGAGACUUUUUCUGUGCAUCAGAGGGAAAACAAAAGUAGUUCAUAAAAAUGUGUCCUUUUGGGGCCUCCAUAACUUUUCCUAAUUUAAGGGGGGGAAAUUGCAAUAUUUUGAGGUCUUUGUUUGAAGUUAGUGUUGUGUUUCCACAAAUGCAGAAACAACAACAUUGAUGUAUCAUCUUUUAAGCAUGCUAGCAAGUAUUUGUCUUUUUACAUCCCCAACAGUUCUUUUCAUUCACUUGGAGUUGCACCUCUAGCCACUUGAUCGAUUUAACUCCAUUUUUCUUUUUUUAAAGCUCCAUUUUGGGUCUCCUCCACCUCCCGAUGCAACUUUCUGACUCUUUGGCUAAUAAAUGCUUCACUAUUUUCA